ACGCUAUCUACAGGCUUAACACAUGCAAGUCGAGGGGCAUCAGGAAGAAAGCUUGCUUUCUUUGCUGGCGACCGGCGCACGGGUGAGUAACACGUAUCCAACCUGCCCUUUACUCGGGGAUAGCCUUUCGAAAGAAAGAUUAAUACCCGAUGGCAUAAUGAUUCCGCAUGGUUUCAUUAUUAAAGGAUUCCGGUAAAGGAUGGGGAUGCGUUCCAUUAGGUUGUUGGUGAGGUAACGGCUCACCAAGCCUUCGAUGGAUAGGGGUUCUGAGAGGAAGGUCCCCCACAUUGGAACUGAGACACGGUCCAAACUCCUACGGGAGGCAGCAGUGAGGAAUAUUGGUCAAUGGGCGCUAGCCUGAACCAGCCAAGUAGCGUGAAGGAUGAAGGCUCUAUGGGUCGUAAACUUCUUUUAUAUAAGAAUAAAGUGCAGUAUGUAUACUGUUUUGUAUGUAUUAUAUGAAUAAGGAUCGGCUAACUCCGUGCCAGCAGCCGCGGUAAUACGGAGGAUCCGAGCGUUAUCCGGAUUUAUUGGGUUUAAAGGGAGCGUAGGUGGACUGGUAAGUCAGUUGUGAAAGUUUGCGGCUCAACCGUAAAAUUGCAGUUGAUACUGUCAGUCUUGAGUACAGUAGAGGUGGGCGGAAUUCGUGGUGUAGCGGUGAAAUGCUUAGAUAUCACGAAGAACUCCGAUUGCGAAGGCAGCUCACUGGACUGCAACUGACACUGAUGCUCGAAAGUGUGGGUAUCAAACAGGAUUAGAUACCCUGGUAGUCCACACAGUAAACGAUGAAUACUCGCUGUUUGCGAUAUACAGUAAGCGGCCAAGCGAAAGCAUUAAGUAUUCCACCUGGGGAGUACGCCGGCAACGGUGAAACUCAAAGGAAUUGACGGGGGCCCGCACAAGCGGAGGAACAUGUGGUUUAAUUCGAUGAUACGCGAGGAACCUUACCCGGGCUUAAAUUGCAGUGGAAUGAUGUGGAAACAUGUCAGUGAGCAAUCACCGCUGUGAAGGUGCUGCAUGGUUGUCGUCAGCUCGUGCCGUGAGGUGUCGGCUUAAGUGCCAUAACGAGCGCAACCCUUAUCUUUAGUUACUAACAGGUUAUGCUGAGGACUCUAGAGAGACUGCCGUCGUAAGAUGUGAGGAAGGUGGGGAUGACGUCAAAUCAGCACGGCCCUUACGUCCGGGGCUACACACGUGUUACAAUGGGGGGUACAGAAGGCAGCUAGCGGGUGACCGUAUGCUAAUCCCAAAAGCCUCUCUCAGUUCGGAUCGAAGUCUGCAACCCGACUUCGUGAAGCUGGAUUCGCUAGUAAUCGCGCAUCAGCCACGGCGCGGUGAAUACGUUCCCGGGCCUUGUACACACCGCCCGUCAAGCCAUGGGAGCCGGGGGUACCUGAAGUACGUAACCGCAAGGAUCGUCCUAGGGUAAAACUGGUGACUGGGGC
rnacentral:rRNA from 1 species